rnacentral:rRNA from 1 species
UGGGGAAUAUUGCACAAUGGGCGCAAGCCUGAUGCAGCCAUGCCGCGUGUAUGAAGAAGGCCUUCGGGUUGUAUAGUACUUUCAGCGGGGAGGAAGGUGUUGAGGUUAAUAACCUCAGCAAUUGACGUUACCCGCAGAAGAAGCACCGGCUAACUCCGUGCCAGCAGCCGCGGUAAUACGGAGGGUGCAAGCGUUAAUCGGAAUUACUGGGCGUAAAGCGCACGCAGGCGGUCUGUCAAGUCGGAUGUGAAAUCCCCGGGCUCAACCUGGGAACUGCAUUCGAAACUGGCAGGCUAGAGUCUUGUAGAGGGGGGUAGAAUUCCAGGUGUAGCGGUGAAAUGCGUAGAGAUCUGGAGGAAUACCGGUGGCGAAGGCGGCCCCCUGGACAAAGACUGACGCUCAGGUGCGAAAGCGUGGGGAGCAAACA